GUGGCUGUAGGGUUCUAUAAUUCAACAAAUGUCAAAACACCAACUGCCAUUUAUCCAGCAUUACGACUCAAUAACGCUAUUGUUUGAGUAUUUCAGGUUGGAGUUGGAUGGGGGACCUGCCAUGUUGCCGCUGAACCCAACUACCAGGCAGAGAGGAUCCCUCUUUCGCCUGCUGUUGAUGGCAACAACUGCAUGAAGCAGCUAGGCAAUAACCCAACUUGUACUGUUCCAUAAAGAAGGCAUAACCCCUCUGAAGGCAUCCAGAGUUACCAAAAUUGACAUUGGGUCAUCAUUCAAACAAAGAGGCAUAUUUCCAAACAAUGUUUGCAUUACCUAAACUGUUUGUGUUUGAGAGUAACUAUAAUGACAAUAACAUCAAAAGUAUUUUGGUA